rnacentral:tRNA from 1 species
GCCGCGGUACCCAAGCCAGGUUCAAGGGGCCAGACUCGAGAUCUGGUGCCUCUCUGAGGCUCGCAGGUCCGAAAGGAACCAGAAAAAAGGCCAAGGAAAUCCUGCCCGCGGCG